rnacentral:rRNA from 1 species
UACGAAGGGGGCUAGCGUUGCUCGGAAUGACUGGGCGUAAAGGGCGCGUAGGCGGAUGGCACAGUCAGAUGUGAAAUUCCCGGGCUUAACCUGGGGGCUGCAUUUGAUACGUGUUGUCUUGAGUUCGGAAGAGGGUCGUGGAAUUCCCAGUGUAGAGGUGAAAUUCGUAGAUAUCGGGAGGAACACCUGCGGUGUAGACGGCUUUCUGGACCAUUGUUGACGCUGAGACACGAAAGCGUGGGUAGCAAACAGG